GUGGGACCGGAAAAAGAAAUUCCCGGGCCCUGGCUUCCUGGCGCGAUGAUGAGGCACCAGGA
rnacentral:lncRNA from 1 species